AACGUAGGAGACGAGCGUUAUCCGGAUUUACUGGGCGUAAAGCGCGUGCAGGCGGCAUGGCAAGUUGGAUGUGAAAGCUCCCGGCUUAACUGGGAGAGGUCGUUCAAUACUGCCAGGCUUGAGAGUGGUAGAGGGAAGCGGAAUUCCGGGUGUAGUGGUGAAAUGCGUAGAUAUCCGGAGGAACACCAGUGGCGAAAGCGGCUUCCUGGCCCAUUUCUGACGCUCAGACGCGAAAGCUAGGGUAGCAAAC
rnacentral:rRNA from 1 species